rnacentral:rRNA from 1 species
CAGCAGCCGCGGUAAUACGUAGGGUGCGAGCGUUAAUCGGAAUUACUGGGCGUAAAGCGUGCGCAGGCGGUUCGUUAAGACAGGUGUGAAAUCCCCGGGCUCAACCUGGGAAUGGCGCUUGUGACUGGCGGGCUUGGAGUGCGGCAGAGGGGGGUGGAAUUCCACGUGUAGCAGUGAAAUGCGUAGAGAUGUGGAGGAACACCGAUGGCGAAGGCAGCCCCCUGGGCCGACACUGACGCUCAUGCACGAAAGCGUGGGGAGCAAACAGGAUUAGAUACCCUGGUAGUCCACGCCCUAAACGAUGCGAACUAGGCGUUGGGGUAGCAAUACCUUAGUGCCGCAGCUAACGCGUGAAGUUCGCCGCCUGGGGAGUACGGUCGCAAGAUUAAAACUCAAAGGAAUUGACGG